rnacentral:rRNA from 1 species
CCAGAUUGAAGCCCGAUGAAAGUUGGGUGGAGGAUCCAACCGUUGCUGAUGUGCAAAUCGCUCGGAUGAGCUGGGUAUAGGGGUGAAAGUCCAAUCGAGUUGGGCAAUAGCAGGUUCCGCGUGAAACUACUCGUAGGUAGACGUUAGAGGAGAUUGAUUACGCUGUAGAGCACUGAUUGCGCAUUUAGGGGGAGCGAUUCCUCGAUGCGCUGCCAAACUCCGAAGGUGUAAUCGUUGUAGAUACUAGCAGUGAGUGAUGGUGGGUAAGCUACCAUUACGUAAGGUGAACAAACCAGCCUGAAGUUAAGGUCCCUAAAUAUCAAUUAAGUGUCACAGACAAACCGUGUCCGUGGUCGAAAACAACUAGAAGGUGGGCUUAGAAGCAGCCAUCCUUGAAAGAGUUCGUAACAGAUCACUAGUCUAGCUUGCGGGCCGGGAAAAGGGACGGGGCUAAAAUUGAUUACCGAUACUUCAGACCAUCGAAAGAUGAUGUGGUAACGCGGCGUUGUGUUUGGAUAGAAGGUGGGCUUUGAGGUCCACUGGACCGAAUACAAAUGAGAGUCUUGGGAAGAGUAGCAGCACAGUGUGGUGAGAAUCCGCACCGCCUUAUAAACCAGGGUUCCUCGGCACUGUUCAUCAGCCGAGGGUUAGCCGGUCCUAAGGUCAUUCUUAACCGAAAUGAUCGAAAGGGAAUGACGUUAAUAUUCGUCAGCCUCCUGUACAAUAAAUGGUGACGGCUUGGGCAAAACUUGUAAGUCAUAUGUCAGGCUUACUUGCAACUAUAUUCUGGAGAACUGUCACAGUGAGAAGGAAUUAAAGUCCCAGGUCCCAUGAAAAGCCGUACAGAGUCCGUACCGAGAACCGACACAGGUGUUUUUGGGUGAGUAGCCUAAGGCGUAUCGGAUACAAAUAUCGCGAGGGAACUCGGCAAAAUAGCUCCGUAACUUCGGGAGAAGGAGUGCCAGAUUAGAGAUAAUCUGGUCGCAGUGACUAGGGAGCUCCGACUGUUUAAUAAAAACAUAGGGGACUGCCAGAUCGAAAGGUUGUGUAUAGUCCCUGAAUCCUGCUCAGUGCUGGUAUCUUAAAUCGGGUUUCAACCUGACGAAGGACCAGUAAACAGCGGGGGUAACUAUGACCCUCUUAAGGUAGCGUAAUACCUUGUCGCUUAAUUGGCGACUUGCAUGAAUGGUCCAACGAGGGCUCCACUGUCCCCGCGAUAAGUCCGGCGAAAUUGACUUUACUGGCGCACAGUCCAGUACAUUCUACCCGCAAGCGAAGACCCCGUAGAGCUUUACUGCAGCCUGUCGUUGCAUUGUCGCUUUCCAUGUACUGUGUAGGUGGGAGACGUUGAUCCCUGAGACGCUAGUCUCGGGAGUAGUCGAAACAAGAGACACCACCCUUGGAAGGUAACAAUGCUAACUCUUUAUGAGAACACCGAUUGGUGGGCAGUUUGGGUGGGGCGCCACGCGCUCGAAAACCUAACAAGCGUGCCCAAUGGUCAGCUUAAGUGGUUCAGCACUCCACUGUUAACUGUAAGGGGAAAAGCUGGCUUGACGUGGAUCCGCACAAUGAGGAUCGACGAUGCGAAAGCAGGGCCUAACGAACCUACCAACCUUAUUUAUGAGGGUGGUAGAUAACAGAAAAGUUACCUCGGGGAUAAUUGAGUUGUCACCAGCAAGAGCUCACAUCGACCUGGUGGCUUGCUACUUCGAUGUCGUCUCUUCCUAUCCUGGGCCUGCAGCAGGGCCCAAGGGUGGGGUUGUUCGCCCAUUAAAAGGGAUCGUGAGAUGGGUUUAGACCGUCGUGAGACAGGUUUGUUGCUUGGUGGUAGAAUCGCGUAAGGUGUUUGAUGGAAGAGGUCCUUUAGUACGAGAGGAACGAGGGCUUGGGGCCACUAGUUUACCAGUUGUCUGACAAGGCAAUGCUGGGUAGCCACGCCCUGAUGGAUAAGAGCUGAAAGCAUCUAAGCUCGAAGCCACCCCAAAGACGAAACACCUCAGAACGCUCGUAAAAGACGAGAUGAUAGACUGCGGAUGUAAGCAUGAAGCUUCGGCGACGUGUUCAGUCCAGCAGCACUAAUGUUCGAGCAUCUUUUUU